AAUCAACGCUGGCGGCGUGCCUAACACAUGCAAGUCGAACGAGAAAGUGGAGCAAUCCAUGAGUAAAGUGGCGACCGGGUGAGUAACACGUGACCAAUCUACCCUUGAGUGGGGGAUAACCUCGGGAAACCGGGGCUAAUACCGCAUAACAUCUUCGGAUCGGAAGAACUGGAGAUCAAAGGAGCAAUUCGCCUAAGGAGGAGGUCGCGGCUGAUUAGCUAGUUGGCGGGGAAUGGCCCACCAAGGCUUAGAUCGGUAGCCGGCCUGAGAGGGCGCACGGCCACACUGGAACUGAAACACGGUCCAGACUCCUACGGGAGGCAGCAGUGGGGAAUUUUGCGCAAUGGGGGAAACCCUGACGCAGCAACGCCGCGUGGAGGAUGAAGUCCCUUGGGACGUAAACUCCUUUCGACCCGGACGAUAAUGAC
rnacentral:rRNA from 1 species